GUGGGUGGUGGUGGUCUUCUUCGUGUGUCGUGUCCCAUUGGAUUGUUGUGCUAUCACUGGGUGAACUCUGGUUUGGUUUUCUCUAAGUUUGUUCUAUUAAUUUUCCUUCCCCUUCACCGGCGCUUCUCACCAUUAGGCCUUAGCGAUUAGUUUUCUUUUCUUAUUUUGUGAGAAAUGUUAGAUUUUACGGGAAUGUAUAUUUAUUGAAUAAAAAUGUUUUUGUAACCUGGGAACCACGAGCCCUUGCCUGUUGAGUGAAACGAACCCGCGUGCUUUAAAAGGUCUUGGGCCUAUCCCAAGUGGCGUUGCCGGUAGAAUAGGGAACCAUUUCGCCACACUUGGCGUUGCUGGCAGGACUCUCUCUCAUAACGGCAAGGACGUGUGUUCCCGGGAUGUUUUUAGUUUUUUUUGUUGGUUCACUAAUGUCUGUCUUGUAGGCAUUUGGGUUUAAGGGGACAAAGCAGCAGUGGUUUCCAGUGGAUCUUCAUGCCAGUCUGAGGUACAGCUUUGUGGCAAGGUGAUGCCCCACUCUGGAGUUCUGGUUGUGAAAGAUCCCCCAGGUGGUGUUCCGGCUCAAGUGCCUGGUAUUCUGGGCAUGAAUGUCAUCCGUAAAUGCUACCAAGAGCUCUUUGGGCAGCAUGGCCUAACCUUGUUUUCUCAGCCCUGUGUUUCUGAGGCUCCGGGGCCGAUUGUGCGAGCACUGCAGCAGUGUUAUUAUGCGGAGGUUCCUCAGGAUAGCCCAGGAAGAGUAAAGGUCAGGGGUAAAAGGGUUUGGCGGAUUCCUGGUGGCGUCAUGAAGAUCGUUGCAGCCACGUGCUCUGAACAAUUCUCUGCCGCCACAGUGUUGUUUGAGCCCUUGGAGUCUGGGUUGCCUAGUGGCUUGCUUGCUUCUCCUGCCCUGGUUCAAGUAGUUAGGGGCACAGCCUACAUACCAGUGGUUAAUGUCGGCUCUGUUGAGGCUGUGCUGCACCCCCGCACAGUUAUUGGCACCCUGGGCCCCGUCAAUGUCAUCAGCCUUCCUGCAGGAGUGACUGAGGUGCCGUCGAAUUGGGCGACCAUGUCCUCUCACA
ensembl:lncRNA